rnacentral:rRNA from 1 species
GUCGAGAGGCUUUGGCAAUGGGGGAAACCCUGACCAAGCGACGCCGCGUGGGGGAUGAAGGCCCUUGGGUUGUAAACCCCUUUUGUUCGGGAAGAAGUGCGAUCAGGUGAACAAUCUGGUCGUUUGACGGUACCGGACGAAUAAGCUCCGGCUAACUCCGUGCCAGCAGCCGCGGUAACACGGGGGGAGCAAGCGUUGUUCGGAAUCACUGGGCGUAAAGGGCGUGUAGGCGGUUCGGUAAGUGAGAUGUGAAAUGCCCCGGCUCACCCGGGGACCUGCAUCUCAAACUGCCGGACUAGAGUAUGGGAGAGGAUGAGGGAAUUCCUGGUGUAGCGGUGAAAUGCGUAGAUAUCAGGAGGAACACCGGUGGCGAAAGCGCUCAUCUGGCCCAAUACUGACGCUGAGGCGCGAAAGCUAGGGGAGCAAACGGGAUUAGAUACCCCAGUAGUCC